rnacentral:rRNA from 1 species
GACGAACGCUGGCGGCGUGCUUAACACAUGCAAGUCGAACGCUGAAGCUCAGCUUUUGUUGGGUGGAUGAGUGGCGAACGGGUGAGUAACACGUGAGUAACCUGCCCCCUUCUUUGGGAUAACGCCCGGAAACGGGUGCUAAUACUGGAUAUUCACUGGUCUUCGCAUGGGGGUUGGUGGAAAGGGUUUUUCUGGUGGGGGAUGGGCUCGCGGCCUAUCAGCUUGUUGGUGGGGUGAUGGCCUACCAAGGCUUUGACGGGUAGCCGGCCUGAGAGGGUGACCGGUCACAUUAGGACUGAGAUACGGCCCAGACUCCUACGGGAGGCAGCAGUGGGGAAUAUUGCACAAUGGGCGCAAGCCUGAUGCAGCGACGCCGCGUGAGGGAUGGAGGCCUUCGGGUUGUGAACCUCUUUCGCUCAUGGUCAAGCCGCAACAAUGGUUGUGGUGAGGGUAGUGGGUAAAGAAGCGCCGGCUAACUACGUG